CAUUUGACCUCAAAUCAGGUAGGACUACCCGCUGAACUUAAGCAUAU
rnacentral:rRNA from 1 species